GCAGGCUUUUGUCGCGCAGCCGCCGCUCGCAGCCCGCCGCUCUGAAGCUCGGCCUGGCCAAACUGGGCGUAGCGCUCCCCCCCUCCCACUGGCACGUCUUCCCAGCCACGUCCGCGCACCCCGCGGCCGCCGACUCCAACCUCGGCCCAGCCACCGUCCCCAUGCAACCACUACCGGCGCUCUGGCUCGCCUCGCACUGGUUUGCAAUGGCCUUCUACAGCCAGGCCGGGUCCGAUCCACCUGGGGGAUGUACGGAUCAGGCACCCCUCGUCACCUUGAAGAUACCGGCCCAGGCUCCACCCCGUGUCCAGUGCAGAAGCCGCAGGGAGCUGGAUACCUGCAGAGUUGCUGGGCAGUCUGACUUCUACAGUCCUCUGUCCGCCUAGCCUCAAGGCCGAGGCUGCCCGCGUGGCCUCGCUCUCGUCUGGUUUUUGCCCGCUCCUGGCGCCUCUGCUGCCAAGCAUCGAACCGGAACCGGAGAGUUUUUGGUUUGGAGCUGUUCCCGGGAGGCCCCUAGAUGACACGGCUUCUGCCCCCAAGUACACAGAGAAGAUUUCAGGCCGUGUGUUAGCAACUUCAUGCCUAUUAACGUCUGGAACGCGUCACCGGCUAGGUGGUGCACGAGGACUCUGCCGGCUGCGGCGGGGGCCUGAGAUCAGAUCCGCUGCCGUUUCAUCCUUGGUGAGCUCUGAAGCUAGGAGAGGGCAGCAGGCAGAGGUCUCCAUCCUGCGAGCGCCCGGCUACUGCUCUGGCCUGGGCUGUGCCGCUCCAGCUCCUGCUGCUGCCAGGUCCAUGACACCCAGUGAAUGCUGUAGGCAGCCAGGCUGCGUUUUGUUUCUUUCCCGGGUCCCAGGAAACCAGGAGUCAAUUGAAGUGAUGGAUUGAGGAUUAUUUUCCCGGGCUGGCUGGCAGGCAGGCAGGCAGGCAAGUUUUCAUUGCACCAACUUUAAUUCCACGUGCAAGGGCAAUCUCCCUUCGGGCUUCAGUUGUAUUGGGGCUGCAUCGGUAUUUCUCGUUUCUACAGCCAAAGCGCUUUCCUGAAAAGCUCUCACGCAGGACAGUCCACCGAAGGUGAGGGGUCCUUUGACACCCGCGCCCUGGAAGGAGAAGUCUGGGCCCCACUUGGGGUUCUCAAACAGGCUUGUUAGGCCUGGCCUCCUUGGCUGGCACCUGAGGCGGUUUCCUCUGCGGAGCCGGGAUCUGCCUUUAGCUCUGAGCUCCCGAAAAAUAAAUAAAUAAUAAAUAAAUAAAAAU